rnacentral:lncRNA from 1 species
CCCUCUUCAACAUUCUUGAUUAUUUGUUGGAUGUUUAGCCAUCUCCCAGGACUCUUUAUGAGCUUUAAAACACCUGUUGUGACUCAUUCACCCCUGGCAGCAGGGGCGUUAUUUUGCAACUGACUGGGCAAAUUAAACUGCACUGAUGUCAUCUCCUCUCCCCUGCUCUCCUUUCCCUGGGAAAACAAAGUGUCAGUUAUACUAGUCAUAGUUUUGCUAGCAGACAUUAGUAAGAACACUUUGUUUAUCCAUAAAAUGAACUACAACCAUUGAUUAAGAAUGGAUUGAGAGGCAAGGAUAGAAUUUGGACAUUGAAAGACUGCCUAGACUGAUGUCAUUGUUAUAUAACAGUACCUUAUAAUGUUAUAGAGAGAGGUUGUGUGGUACAGUGAUUAAAUAGAUGGCUUUGGAAAAUCAGGAAGAUGUGAAUUUAGGUCUUGCCUUUGAUACAUAUUAGCUAUGAUUCUCUGGUGAAGUUACUUAAACUCUCAAGGUUCUAGGUACUCUAGCUAUGAAUUGUAAGUACUGAUGAGGUUCAAGAAGUCAAGAAUGCAUGGAGUUGACUGUAAUGAUGACUCAGACUGUGGUGGUUUUCCUGGAGGCAGCCUUAGUCUCAGUUGAAAUAAAUAAUUACUCCAAUAUUGCAGCCAGCUGGUAAAAAUGCAACCGUUUAUUUCUCCUUCCAAAUUAGCCCGGUUAGUUGAGGCCUAUCUCUCCUCCUGGCUCCAAGAGAUCUUGCAGCUUUGUCCUUAGCUUCUGCAUCUGCUUUCUUCAGCCUCCAGCCAGCUCCGACUCGUGGCUUCUCAAUCUCCAACUGAGAACAGAAACUUUGAAUUCUUCUUCUCCUGCAGAUGUUCCACUGAGCUUCAUCAGGAAUUCUCUGGUAGCUACAUGGUUGAACAAUUUUAAUUCCUACAUUAAUGGCACCCCAAGACGGGACUUCUUUGCCUGGACCUUAACCUCUUUAGGCCAGUCCUGUAAAGGACACAAAAAAGAAAUGCAUACCUGGUCGAAUUUUUGCCAAUGACCCCAAGGACACUGAUUCUGGGAGGUUAGACUCCUUUUACUGUCUGUAUUCAAAUUCUCUGAGCCAAAGGUAAGUUGUAUUCAAGAUUGGUGUAUACCUUGAUUUACCCUAAAUUCAUUUUUUUUAAAGGGUUAGGAGGAAAUGUUUGAAUUUUUAACUAAUCUGUUUAAAUUUGUAAGCUCCAGAGCACUCAAAUUCUAUCUUUAUAAAGUUUAUAUGGCCAUAAUUUACACUUUUUAUACAUAGGCUACUCGUUUUUUUUUUCUCCUUCUGUUUUCUAUAUUUUCAUUUUGUUAAGAUCAGAGAGAUUCAGGAGUGGAAUUGCUAGUUCUUCACUUUCAGCAACUAGUCACCAAUUAUUCCAGUUGGGAUAAUUAAAAUUGAUUUUUUUUGCCUUUAAAUUCUUUAACAAGGAACAAUUAAAUCAUUCUUGUUGCUGGUGGAGAAAUCUCUUAAAUUGGUUGAGGGAAACUUUUAGUGGCUCACUGUGGAGUGAAGAAUCAUUCAGAGGACUCCAUGACCAGUCCCCUGGAUGGGUAGGGCUUAAGAAAGUGAUUUACCACUCCAAGGCUCUGACAUCACCUGGAAGGAGCUAAUUCAGUCCAGACCCAAUAACCUUAGGGGAGAGAUUCCCCAACUCAACCAUAAGCUUGUCAAAGUAUUUGACCCUCCUAUGAGUAGUCCUACCCUCUUCUGACCUGAGAAGGCUCAUUUUAGUUUUACAGACACGAGGAAAAGAAAGAUUAUUAUCACUUAUAUUUUUAGGAUUAAGUCAGUCACAAUCAAAGAUAAAUUUUUAGGAAGUAAAAGAGAGCUGGUAAAAAUUUUGCUAAAUGUUCACUCAUAAAGAACCUUUAAGAUCUAGUUGACCAGUUUUAGGACCCUAGAGGUUAAGCCCAGAAAUUAAGAAUUGGAAGUACUGAAAAAUUUGCCAAAACAAAUCCCUGAAUAUUAAUGUUAACUGUAGGAAAAGAACUAUAAUAGAUGGAACUCAGGUACCUGAAAGACUGCCUUCACUGAUUCAUAAUCAAAGCAGGAGUUAGCAUCUUCAGUGUAGAACUGACAAAAGGCAAAUACCUCAGGAAUCUAGUCCCAUUCUCUCAGAAGUUCUUGCAAGAUAGGAGACUUUCAAAGGAGAGAUAGGAUCAGGUAUAAGAGGAUAAAUGCAUCCUACAGGAUCUCCAUUGGGACAAAGGUGAACUCCUGAUUUGUGGAAAGACUAAAGAAAGAGCCAUUUAUCUUUGUAAGGUUUGGUUGAGAGCACAAAGUAUUUAGGGAAUUGUUUUGGCGGAAGUAUGGGACUUGUGAUUACUUUAAAAGUUAUGAAAUUAUAUUGUACAAUAUCCUAAAAUCAGCUUUGAACAAAUGAACUAUUGAUAUUGCUUAACUUUUCAUCAAUCUCAAUUUUUCUACCUGUGAUACUUUGCCAAAAAUUGUGGGAAACUUUUAGUGGCUCACUGUGGAGUGAAGAAUCUUCACUCAGGUAAUGUGUGGCAAUCUUCUCUUAUGGAUUUGUUCUAAAUACAAAAAGGCACUUUAAAUGAGUGAAUCCAAUUGGCAGAUUAGACUGAAGCAAUUCAUACUGUUACUAAAUUAACAUGUUUCAUUGAUAAGAUUCUAAAAGUAUUACCAUAAAUUAUGUCCAAAAGGCUAUCAAACUGCACAUACUCUUUGAUCCACAGCGUCUUUACUGGGCUUGUAUCCUAAAGAAAUCAUAAAGGAGGGAAAGGGACCCACAUGUGCAAAAAUGUUUGUGGCAUCCCCUUUUGUAGUGGCAAGAAACUGAAUACUGAGUGGAUGCCCAUCAGUUGGAGAAUGGCUGAAUAAAUCAAAUGGAGAAUGGCUGUAUGUUACGAAAUAUUAUUGUUCUGUAAGAAACGACCAGCAGGAUGAUUUCAGAGAGGCCCGGAGAGAUUUACAUGAACUGAUGCUAAGUGAAAUGAGUGGAACCAGGAGAUCAUUAUGCAUGGCAACAAGAAGAUUAUUUGAUGAUCAAUUCUGAUGGAAGUGGCUCUUUGAAACAAUGAGAUAAUUCAGGCCAGUUCCAGUGGUGAUGAAGAAAAUCGUUUACACCCAGGGAUAGGACAAUGGGGAUUGAAUGGGGACCUCAACAUAGCAUUUUCACUCUUUUUGUUGUUGGUUGCUUGCAUUUUGUUUUCUUUCUCUUUUUUUUUUCUUUUUGAUCUGAUUUUUCUUCUGCAGCAUGAUAUUUGUGGAAAUAUGUAUAGAAGAACUGUACAUGUUUACUACAUAUUGGAUCGCUUGCUGUCUGGAGGAAGAGAUGGGGGAAGAGAAGGAAAAAAAUUAGAACACAGGGUUUUGUAAGUGUGAAUGUUGAAAAUUUAAAAAAAAUUUUUAAUUAAAGCCUUUUAUUUUCAAAAUAAAAUAAAAGCAUUACCAUAAUUAGGAAAUAGAAGAAUUAUGUUGAGCUGACAGCAGGAUUUUAGCUAUAUGAUGGUUUAUAAGUUCUAUACUUAGUAGAGGAGACAGGUAAGAUCUUGAUUUCAAAAUCUCCUAGAGAAAAACUUAGAAGUUCAGACCUGAU